AUACGGAGGAUGCAAGCGUUAUCCGGAUUUAUUGGGUUUAAAGGGUGCGUAGGCGGAUGAUUAAGCGUGAGGUGAAAUGCCACGGCUCAACCGUGGAACUGCCUCGCGAACUGGUUGUCUGGAAUGCCCCUGCCGUGGGAGGAAUGUGUGGUGUAGCGGUGAAAUGCAUAGAGAUCACACAGAACACCGAUUGCGAAGGCAUCUCACGAAGGGGUGAUUGACGCUGAGGCACGAAAGCGUGGGGAUCAAACAGGAUUAGAUACCCUGGUAGUCCACGCAGUAAACGAUGAUAACUAACAGCUGGGCCUUUGGGUUCAGUGGCCAAGCGAAAGCGAUAAGUUAUCCACCUGGGGAGUACGACCGCAAGGUUGAAACUCAAAGGAAUUGACGGGG
rnacentral:rRNA from 1 species